rnacentral:lncRNA from 1 species
CGUGUCCACUGGAAUCAAGAUGGCCGCCACGAUCACGUGUCCACUGGAGCCAAGAUGGCCGCCACAAUCAUGUGUCCACUGGAACCAAGAUGGAAGCCAUGAUCACGUGUCCACUGGAGCCAAGAUGGCCACCAUGAUGCUGCUUCCACUGGAGCCAAGAUGGCCGCCAUGAUCACGUGUCCACUGGAAUCAAGAUGGCCGCCAUGAUCACGUGUCCACUGGAACCAAGAUGGCCGCCAUGAUGCCGUGUCCACUUGAGCCAAGAUGGCCGCCAGGAUCACGUGCCCACUGGAGCCAAGAUGGCCGCCAUGAUUCCUCCUGAUGAGAUCAAGAUGGCCGCCAAGUCCCAAGUCCACUCAGGCCACAAUGGCCGCCAUGAUUCCUUCCGACGCCACCGGAACCAAGAUGGCCGCCGCCAGACGGGAAGCCAUCCGGUUUAAAGAUGGCCGCCUCCACGUGACAUCACCAUUUUCCACACGGCCUCCAGUUCCGCCAUGACCACAUCCAAGAUGCAUGCCAGUAUCCAUCGCAGCUUCCGGUUCAAGAUGGCGGCCAGCCCCCAGCUUCCGGUUCGAUUGCCGCAAGCCGCCCCGUUUCCGGUUCAAAAUGGCCGCCAGCCCCCACAACUUCCGGUUCAAGAUGUCCGCCAUCUUGGGGUCACCCGGCAGCCAUCUUGGCCGCAUCCCAGUCAGCCAUCUUGGGGCCAACGUGCCCGCCAUCUUAGGGUCGCCCAGUGGCCAUCUUGGCCCUUGUCGGCCAUCUUGGCUCCCUUGUCAGCCAUCUUGGCCGUGUCGGCCAUCUUGGCUC